CUUCUCUUUUGUUUUCUUUGAGAGAUUUGGUUUCCCUUCUACCUGCGUCUUACCCUUCGUGUGUGGUUCAUCGUUCAGCCCUGCUUUAACAAUCCAUGCCAUCCAUAACAGAAAAUUUUCUGUUAUAUACUACCGACUCUGAUUUUUCUGACUACAAGAUGACCUUAUUUCACUGGUACCACCUACAAGGCCGCAACUAUCUCUAUACCAGAGAAAUCUAUAUGAAGUUGCAUGUGUGCCACAGAAAAGGCUAAUGGUUGAACAAGUAUCCAUGGCUAGACAAAGAUAAUAUAGUUCAUUUACUGUCUGC